rnacentral:rRNA from 2 species
ACUCUACAAAGUUGAACAUAGGCUGAGUCUCUAUGCCUUGAAUGGAGCACUGGAUUGGAUACCCGGGAAACCGGCGCUUCCAUUUAUAAGAAGUUAAAUUA